CAUGACAUUUGCACAGAGUGAACUGUAGAUUCAGAAACAUAUUAGGGAAAGACAGAGGAACGACUGUUAAGUACAAAAGCAAAGGAAUAGAGAGAAAGUGGGUGGAAUAAUGCACUAACAUAUGGGAGAUGCCGCCACUGACAUCAUAAUGUGACCUUCUGACUGACAGCCUAUAGGACUGACACAAGCAGUGCGUCUUGGCCUUUCCUUUCCUCUUCUUGUUGUUUUUAAUUAAGGCUAAUGUAUUUAUUUGACUUUUUCCACCUCAUUUCCAUUUAAAACCAUAAACUUCCUCAAACGUGAUGCCAGCCCAGCAAGCAUUAACUGUUGGUUUGCGAUGCGUUAACUGUAGGUUCGUAAAGGCGUUAUCUACCUCAAGGUAACAGCAGAAGGCUCUGUCUCCCAACUGUAGUGCUUUAAAGAAACACUUGCCCUUUCAACGAUGUAGUGCACAGCGAUCUCUAUUUUUCAUUUUGCAUUUACCAUAGUGAAGUGUUGAGAUCAUUAUUUAUUUUUAGCAGAUGUGAGAUAUUUAUUUUAAGAAACGUAAUUUUUCAAUGUGAGGCAUUGGACUUCCAUUCUGGUCUGUUUUGGCGCUCUGUGUUUAGCUGUGGAUGAUCGCUUAUCCGUUUUGAGUUGUAUAGAAAUUCAUGAUGUUUUCCCAAAUUCAACUAUUUGUUUUCAAAAAGAAAUUUUCAUUCUUUUUUUAUCUUAUUUCUUUUUUUAUUAACCUUAUAGGUGCUUUGUAUGAGUGGAAUGCUGCUUUAUGCUAUUUUAUGCGCCUAAAAGUCUUAUUUUUUCUUUAAAAAAAUGUGCAUGGAAGAAAACCAGUAGAUGGUACAUUUAAAAUGAAGUUAAUGGUGAAGUAUAUUGUAAGUCAUUAAUUUUAUUUUAAUUGUUUUUAUGAAAGUUAAUUUUUUUUUUCCAAGCGAGCAUGAUUGAAUUAGUUUCAGGUAUAGCAUGUAGAACACUUAAUUAUUUUUUUAUUUUUUGUUGGUGUUAAUUUUGCCUUUAAAUGCUGGUUUCAUUCUGUUAUCAUUGGUUCCUCUGUAAAUAACAUCAAUAAAAUGGCCAGCAAGUGAA